rnacentral:rRNA from 1 species
AGAACCUGAAACCGUGUGCUUACAAGUAGUCAGAGCCCGUUAAUGGGUGAUGGCGUGCCUUUUGUAGAAUGAACCGGCGAGUUACGAUUUGAUGCAAGGUUAAGCAGUAAAUGUGGAGCCGUAGCGAAAGCGAGUCUGAAUAGGGCGUUUAGUAUUUGGUCGUAGACCCGAAACCAGGUGAUCUACCCUUGGUCAGGUUGAAGUUCAGGUAACACUGAAUGGAGGACCGAACCGACUUACGUUGAAAAGUGAGCGGAUGAACUGAGGGUAGCGGAGAAAUUCCAAUCGAACCUGGAGAUAGCUGGUUCUCUCCGAAAUAGCUUUAGGGCUAGCCUCAAGUGAUGAUUAUUGGAGGUAGAGCACUGUUUGGACGAGGGGCCCCUCUCGGGUUACCGAAUUCAGACAAACUCCGAAUGCCAAUUAAUUUAACUUGGGAGUCAGAACAUGGGUGAUAAGGUCCGUGUUCGAAAGGGAAACAGCCCAGACCACCAGCUAAGGUCCCAAAAUAUAUGUUAAGUGGAAAAGGAUGUGGCGUUGCCCAGACAACUAGGAUGUUGGCUUAGAAGCAGCCAUCAUUUAAAGAGUGCGUAAUAGCUCACUAGUCGAGUGACACUGCGCCGAAAAUGUACCGGGGCUAAACAUAUUACCGAAGCUGUGGAUUGUCCUUUGGACAAUGGUAGGAGAGCGUUCUAAGGGCGUUGAAGCAUGAUCGUAAGGACAUGUGGAGCGCUUAGAAGUGAGAAUGCCGGUGUGAGUAGCGAAAGACGGGUGAGAAUCCCGUCCACCGAUUGACUAAGGUUUCCAGAGGAAGGCUCGUCCGCUCUGGGUUAGUCGGGUCCUAAGCUGAGGCCGACAGGCGUAGGCGAUGGAUAACAGGUUGAUAUUCCUGUACCACCUAUAAUCGUUUUAAUCGAUGGGGGGACGCAGUAGGAUAGGCGAAGCGUGCGAUUGGAUUGCACGUCUAAGCAGUAAGGCUGAGUAUUAGGCAAAUCCGGUACUCGUUAAGGCUGAGC